GAUGAACGCUGGCGGCGUGCCUAAUACAUGCAAGUCGAGCGAACAGACGAGGCGCUUGCUCCUCUGACGUUAGCGGCGGACGGGUGAGUAACACGUGGAUAACCUACCUAUAAGACUGGGAUAACUUCGGGAAACCGGCGCUAACACCGGAUAAUAUAUUGAACCGCAUGGUUCAAUAGUGAAAGACGGUUUUGCUGUCACUUAUAGAUGGAUCCGCGCCGCAUGAGCUAGUUGGUAAGGUCAAGGCUUAUCACGGCGAGGAUGCGUAGCCGACGUGAGAGGGGGGUCGGCCACACGGGAGCGGGGACAGCGACCUGGGGCCUGCGGGAGGCAGCAGUAGGGAAUCGUCGGCAGUGGUCGAGAGCCUGACGGAGCAGCGGCGCGUGAGAGGUAGAGGUCUUGGGAUCGUGAUGCUCUGUUAUGAGGGAUAAACAAAUGUGUAAGUAACUAUGCACGGCUUGACGGUACCGGAUCAGAAAGCCACGGCUAACUACGUG
rnacentral:rRNA from 1 species